GUGCUCACUUCGACAGCACAUAUACUAAAAUUGGAACAAUACAGAGAAGAUUAGCUCCUGCUCAAGGAUGGUGCACAAAUUGGUGAAGCAUUCCAUACUUAA